rnacentral:rRNA from 1 species
CGGUGAAUAUGUUCCCGAGCCUUGUACACACCGCCCGUCAAGCCACCCAAGCAGGAUGCACCCGAAAACAUUAUAUCUAACCAGGGCAACUUGGAGGAAAAUGUUGAAGGAGUGUUUUGUGAGGAGGACUAAGUCGUAACAAGGUAGUCGUAGGAGAACCUGCGGCUGGAUCACCUCCUUU